rnacentral:rRNA from 1 species
UACGAAGGGUGCUAGCGUUGUUCGGAAUUACUGGGCGUAAAGCGCGCGUAGGCGGCUUACCAAGUCAGGGGUGAAAUCCUGGGGCUCAACCCCAGAAUUGCCUUUGAAACUGUUAAGCUUGAGUGUCGGAGGGGAUAGCGGAAUUGCUAAUGUAGAGGUGAAAUUCGUAGAUAUUAGCAGGAACCCCGGUGGCGAAGGCGGCUAUCUGGACGACAACUGACGCUGAGGCGCGAAAGCGUGGGGAUCAAACAGG